GACGAACGCUGGCGGCGUGCUUAACACAUGCAAGUCGAACGGUAAGGCCCUUCGGGGUACACGAGUGGCGAACGGGUGAGUAACACGUGGGUGAUCUGCCCUGCACUUCGGGAUAAGCUUGGGAAACUGGGUCUAAUACCGGAUAGGACCACGGUCUGCAUGGAUUGUGGUGGAAAGCUUUUGCGGUGUGGGAUGGGCCCGCGGCCUAUCAGCUUGUUGGUGGGGUGAUGGCCUACCAAGGCGACGACGGGUAGCCGGCCUGAGAGGGUGUCCGGCCACACUGGGACUGAGAUACGGCCCAGACUCCUACGGGAGGCAGCAGUGGGGAAUAUUGCACAAUGGGCGCAAGCCUGAUGCAGCGACGCCGCGUGGGGGAUGACGGCCUUCGGGUUGUAAACCUCUUUCAGUAGGGACGAAGCGUAAGUGACGGUACCUAUAGAAGAAGCACCGGCCAACUACG
rnacentral:rRNA from 1 species